CAGUUAACUAAAUUUUGCAGUAGCUUGGUGGUAGUUGAAGUAAAUUCAAAUCUUGGUAGUGUUUUCAGUAGUUAAGUCUUUACUGAAGACUCAUCUCUUCUCUGGCCCAGGGGUGUGAAGGUGUCUCUGCUUAGCCAGCUCCCCUCUCUCCACUGGGAUUCUAUGCCUCUGACCCUAUUACCGGGGCUGAAUUGAGGGAGAGGUUGUUGUUUCCCCCCAAUAUGUGUCAAUGGCUUGCCCCUGCAUCAUGUAUUGCCAGGCCUUUUUAUGCUAUAGUUGACUUGAGUGGGUUGACACGUUAUCUUCCGGUCUUGCGCCCCAUCAGGAACGUCUGGUUGGGAAGAUCUUCGUUGUCUCAGGGUAAUAAGUUGGUGGUCUGUUGAUAUCCCUCUGGUGGUGUGGGGGCUGUGCUUUGACAAAGUGGUUGGGGCCUGGUUGGCCCUGUCCAGGCGUAUCGUCCCCCGACCCCCCCUGUCGCAGUCCCCAGUGUCAUACUAUAUAUGUACUGGGGGCUAGGGCUGCAUUUCUCCUGUCUUAUCCUAAUUAUCCCAUCUCUCUCUCUCGCUUUCUCUCCAGAUAGUCGGCCGGCCAGAUUGGACCAGUCAGGCAGCUGGCGAGAUAGUACCAGUCGGCCGGAUGGUCAGAUAGUUGGCUGACCAGAUCGGAGUAGUCGGCCAGCCGGUGAGAUAUGACCAGUCGGACAGAUAGGAUAAGUAGGCAGGCCAAAUAAGACCAGUCGGACAGAUAGGACAAGUCUUUUAGAUGGCCAGUCCUAUCUUGCCAGUUCGGACCAGUAGGCCAGAUAGGACCAGUUGGCCAGCCGGCCCUCCAGAUGAGACCAGUCGGCCAGCCCUCCAGAUAGGACCAAUUAGCCGGCCGGCCAAUUAGGAACGGUCAGUUAGGACCACUCGGCCAGAUAGGACCAGUUGGCCUGCCAUAUAUGCCAGAAAGCAUAAGUCACCUGGCCGGCCAGAUAGGAUAGGACCAGUCGGUCGGCUGGCCAGUUAGGACAAGGUAGCCAGUUGGCCAAAUAAGAGCAGUCUAACGGCCAGAUAGGACCAGUUGGCCAGUUACGACCAGUCACCCAACUGCUCUUUAUUUGGCUGGCCAGCCGACUUCCCCUUUCUGGCCGGCCAGCUGGUCCCAUCUGGCCAGUUAGUACCAGUUGGCCAGAUAGGACCAGUUGGCUGGCCAGCCCUCCAGAUAAGACCAGUAGGUCAGCCAGAUAGGACCAUUCAGCCGACCAGCCAGUUAGGACAAGUCGGCCAGUCGGACAGAUAGGACAAGUAGGCAGGCCGGCCAGAUAGGACAAGUUGGCUGGUCGGACAAAUAAGAGCAGUCGGCCGACCAUCCAGAUAGGACCAGUCGGCCAGCAGGAUAGGACCAGUUGGCCAAAUAAGAGUGGUCGGCCGGUCAUAUAAGACCAGUGAGCCGGCCAGAUAAAACAAGUCAGUCAUUUACAUGUCAAUGAAUUUGAGUGUAUUCACACCCCUGAGUUAGAAUCCCUUUUGGCAAUGAUUACAGCUGUGAGUCUUCCUGAGUAACUCUCGAAGAGCUUUGCAAACCUGGAUUGUACAAUAUUUCCACAUUAUUAUUUUAAAAAUUCUUCAAGCUCUGUCAAGUUGGGUGUUGAUCAUUGCAAGACAGCCAUUUUCAAGACUUGCCAUAGAUUUUGAAGCCAAUUUAAGUCAAAACUGUAACUAGGCCACUCAAUUCAUGUCGUCUUGGUAAGAAAUUCCAGUGAAUAUUUGGCCUUGUGUUUUAGGUUAUUGUCCUGCUGAAAGGUGAAUUUGUCUCCCAGUGUCUGUUUGAAAGCAGGUUUGCAUCUAGGACUUUGCCUGUGCUUAGCUCUAUUCCAUUUAUUUGCAUCCUUUCUUUUCAACCAUUAAACUCUGAAACUCUUUUAAAGUCACCAUUGGCCUCACGGUGACAUCCUUCCUCUCCGCCAACUGAGUUAGGAAGGAUGCCUGUAUCUUUGUAGUGACUGGGUGUAUCCAAAGUGUAAUUAAUAACUUCACCAUGCUCAAAGCGAUCAAUAACUGUUUAAAAAUAUAUAUGUUUUACUCAUCUACCAAUAGGUCCCCUUCUUUGCGAGGCUUUGGAAAACAUCCCUAGUCUUUGUGGUUGAAUAUGUGUUUGAUAAUUCACUGCUCAACUGAGAAACCUUACAGAAAAUUGUAGGUGUGGGAUACAGAGUUGAGGUAGUCAUUCAAAAAUCAUGUUAAACACUAUUAUUGCACACAGAGUGAGUCUAUGCAACUACUGGAACUACACAAAAACUAAAAUAUAAAUGGUGAGGUAGGUUAUAGCUAACUACUGGAACUACACAAAAACGAAAAUAUAAAUGGUGAGGUAGGUUAUAGCUAACUACUGGAACUACACACAAACUAAAAUAUGUAUGGUGAGGUAGGCAAGGAUUUCCUUUAUUUCCUUUAUUUUUAUUUUUUCCGCAUCAAAUCUGCCAAAUUACACAUUCUGUUAACGUAUGACCCCAAAGUUAUCUGUUUUUGCAAUUUGUAGUCAUUUGUAUGGCAUUUCAGAUUGACAUAUGAUCUUUUUUCAGUAACUGGGUUGGAUGUAGUAAGCUACUUUUUUUGAAGUAACUUAGUUCAGUAAACUCAAUUUGUAUUAAUAGUAGCUUUAGUGUAGCUUAAGUUUUUCCAGUGUGAGGUGAUUGGUAGCUUGGUAAACUACAUUUUCAGAGCAGCUUCCCCACACUGAUUACAAGGUACUUUAGUUUGCACAGGGAUUUGAAGUGCACUGAAAUAUACAGUUGCUAAAACACAAUUCGUUUUCAGUGGAUGGGGCCCCACUGCAUUCAUCUAUACAUCUCUCCAUGCCUCCAACAACAAAACCCAAACCAACAGAAGAACAGAGUUGAGAUCAAAGGGCACACCUCCUUGCUUGCACAUAGCACCUCAAGGGCACUCCAUGCCUGCUCUCCC
rnacentral:lncRNA from 1 species